rnacentral:rRNA from 1 species
CAAUAGCGUAUAUUUAAGUUGUUGCAGUUAAAAAGCUCGUAGUUGGAUUUCGGAUGGGAUUUGCCGGUCCGUCGUUACGAUGUGCACUGGCCAGUCCUAUCUUGUUGUCGGGGACUAGCUCCUUGGAUUCACUUCCUGGGACUAGGAGCUGACGAGGUUACUUUGAGUAAAUUAGAGUGUUCAAAGCAAGCCUACGCUCUGAAUACAUUAGCAUGGAAUAACACGAUAGGACUCUGGCUUAUCUUGUUGGUCUGUGAGGCCAGAGUAAUGAUUAAGAGGGACAGUCGGGGACAUUCGUAUUUCAUUGUCAGAGGUGAAAUUCUUGGAUUUAUGAAAGACGAACUUCUGCGAAAGCAUUUGUCAAGGAUGUUUUCAUUAA